CCUACGGGGGCAGCAGUUGGGAAUAUUGCCCAAUGGGGGAAACCCUGAAGCAGCAACGCCGCGUGGAGGAUGAAGGUUUUUGGAUUGUAAACUCCCUUUGUUAGAGAAGAUAAUGACGGUAUCUAACGAAUAAGCACAGGCUAACCCCGUGCCAGCAGUCGCGGUAAUACGGAGGGUGCAAGCGUUACUCGGAAUCACUGGGCGUAAAGCGCGCGUAGGCGGGAUAGCAAGUCAGAUGUGAACACCUAUGGCUUAACCAUAGAACUGCAUUUGAAACUGUUAUUCUAGAGUAUGGGAGAGGUAGGUGGAAUUAUUGGUGUAGGGGUAAAAUCCGUAGAGAUCAAGAGGAAUACUCAUUGCGAAGGCGACCUGCUAGAACAUAACUGACGCUGAUGCGCGAAAGCGUGGGGAGCAAACAGGAUUAGAUACCCGUGUAGUC
rnacentral:rRNA from 1 species